rnacentral:lncRNA from 1 species
UUUUAUUGGGCGAGGCUCAUCUCGUUUAUUUUAAAAGGACAAUCCUAAAAUGACUACAUUUUCUAAUUAAGUUUGUCUCUAAAAAAUGAAAGAGGAAAAGGUCCUAAUUAGUUUACACGCUUGAAAAGUUCGAGCCUUUUAUUAAUUAUUAGAUUAAGACAAAUGUUAAUGAAAAUGAAUAUUACCAAAAUUUGAAAUUAUAAAGAGAAUACGGAAUUGACCAAUAAUAUAUUCAAAAGAAUCUAAUUAUCCUAUAAUUAAUUUAAACACAUAUGGUUAGACGAAUAAACUAUUGCAAUUAAUUAUUUACAAUUAUUUGAAGCUAGAAUUAACCCCUCUUAUUAUUCCUUAUUCAAAAAGUUUAUUAAACUUAAAUAUUAACUCGUCUUGCUCAACUCGCACUUAUCGAAUUAAUGUUCUUAGCCAAUAUCGGACCCACAUGCAGAAAUCAUCAUUGAUAUAUUAAGUAAUUCUUAAUCAAGGAAUUCAACAUAACUGACUACAUCUUGGUUGUGGACUUUAUCCAAGACAACCUAAACAAUUGUCAAUUAACAAGGCUUAUAAAUUAGUUACAAGAUGACUCUAACGUUUUGGAGCAGAUUUACCUUAACUGCUUUUGAUUCCUAUUAACUCACAAUUAUUAUUAUUCCGUUUCCCAAAUUAACCAUAAGAAGAACCUAUCAACCUAUUUGCUAAUAUUGAAAGUUAAACUAAUCACUGAAGUGAGAUUAUACUUAUGCUAAUAAAUAACAAAUAACUACAACAUCCCUGCUUAUCUGUUUUUAACACAAUGCUAAAAUGGAACCAAUACUAAACCAUAGUAAGGCUAGAACCUGAUGAUUACAAAUUUGAUAGUCAUGAGACAGUCUAAAUCAUACAGCCUAGUUUUCAAUUCCACAAUGCAGACAGAAGUAUCAAUAUACUACUAACCAAGUUGUAAAAAUUAUCUAGACAUACAGAAUUGUUAAAAUAACAAAGCAAAAUCAGAAUUUUGGGCUUCGACUUCAUUUCAUGCUUUCAACAAGAGAUACUACAUCAAAUACAUCUCGAAAUAUACCUGGAAUUUAGAAAAAAUGAAGAGGAAGUAAGAUCAUGAGCAAUAGCAACAACACAACAACACAGCAAUAAGACCAGUAACAGAGCGGUAGCAGAAAUCACAAUGAACUUUCAACAUAAAACCAAAACACUCAACUAAACCCAUGUUCAAAACCCAACAAAAUAGCCCAGUAGCAGUUUCCACAGCAAAACAAGAAACCAGGAACUUAAUAAAGUAACACUCGGAACAAACAAUAGACCCAGGCAACAACAAUUGAAACCAAGCAAUACCUGAAAAACAACACAAGCAAGCAGAAGAGAAGCAGCCACAAAAGAAGCCUCACUUUCAGUGCCUAAAUUCUCACAAAUUAACUGACUUCUUGAUGUCAAAGUUCAGCCUUAGACUCUAUCUUUUAAGUUCUGAAAAUCUGAUCUCCCCUCAAUUCUUUCUCUCCCCCUUUUUCAUAACAGAUUGUUCCCCCCUUUAUACUAAAACUUAAACCCCUCUUUUACCACCUAAGUGGGCAUCCCACUAAUCCUUCUAAAUUAGCCUUAGUGUUCUAUCCACUAGCCCUUUUUAUUAACUUAUUCAAUCCCUUUUACCCCCACUAUGCUUUGUUACCCACUAUUGUAUUAGUUUAAUGACAAUUAACACCCCAUUAUUAUAUUACUAAUUAUCACAAAACUUUCCUAUUUUUAUUCCUAAUUUGCCCUUGAAAUACCCCAACUAUUACUUUAUUACCCUAAACUGAAGUUACAUCUAUGUAAAUUCAAAUCUGAAACUAAUUUUUUG